UAAUCAGCAAAGCCAAAGAAAAUGAGAUUUUUUUUUUUUUUUUCUCCAGCAGAGAUGAGAUAGAGCUGGACCUGAUUCCUAUCAGAGCCAACUUGCCCCAUUAACACUGCCCAGCUCCUCCAGGUCUCCCCAUCUCCUGUGGGAAACUGGAUGAGGAAGAACAAAGGGUAUGGGGGAACAGCAGGAUUAUCCAUGGGUUUUCCAAGUGAAAUGGCAGUGCUGAGUUCGUGGGGAUAAAAAUUACCUGCUCCAUCCUGUCUGCUUUCUGGUGCCUCGCUUGCAAACCCUCAGUGCUGGAAAAACCCUCCCCACCCAGGCGGGGCAGCCGAGGGCAGGGAAGCUGCUCAUUAACCGGAGCCAGCAGCCGGUGGGAGUGGGGGAAUGAGGCUGCUCCCUUUCCCUUUCUGUUCCUUCCUUCUCCCCAUUCCCAUCAGAUUCCCAUCCCUGUGCUUGUUCCUGUCCCCAUACCCAUCCCUGUCACCAUUCUCAUCCCCUUCUCCAUGCUCAUCCCUGUCCUUAGGUUUGUCUCUGUCCCUAUUCCCAUCCCUAUCCUCAUUCCCAUUUCCAUCCCUAUUCCUUUUCCCAUCUCUAUCCCAAUCCCUAUUCCUGUUCCUAUCCCCAAUCCCUAUUCCUUUUUAUUUGUUUUCCCAUCUCUAUCCCAAUCCCUUUGCCUGUUCUUAUCCCCAACCUCUAUUCCUUUUCCCAUCUCUAUCCCAAUCUCUGUACCUGCUCCUAUCCCCAAUGCCUAUUCCUUUUUAUUUCUUUUCCCAUCUCUAUCCCAAUCCCUGUACCUGUUCCUAUCCCCAAUCCCUAUUCCUUUUUACUCCUUUUCCCAUCUCUAUUCCAAUCCCUAUACCUGUUCCUAUCCCCAAUCUCUAUUCCUUUUCCCAUCUCCAUUUCCACCUUCAUUCCUGUAACCAUUCCCAUCCCUUUCCCAGUGGAGGACAGACCCUCUCCUGUAGUUUUUUUUAGCCAGCCCUGGUUUUUUAUCAGGAUUUCAGUUAAAUUCCAAAUUUCUAGCUAAAUUACAGCUUUUCUUAGUGAGGACAAAGCUGGUCCACGUGCAGGGCUCAGCCAAGCUGUGGAACUUCCCUAAGGGUUAAAACUCUGGGAAGCAGAGAUGGAUGAUCCUGAUCUGGUGGGUGACAUCCCUGCCCUUCCCACCCAAACCAUCCUGGGAUUCCAUGAGUCUAUGAAGAGCACGGAUAUGGAGCAAAACCAGCCCUGGGGACAGUUUGCAAACCACCAAGAAUUCCUUCAGUUCCCUGCAAUCCUCAGCACGCUUCCCCCUCUGCUAAUAACUCAUUGGGAUGUCACAAUAACAGCCUGCACCCUUCCUGUGUCACGGGGCACGCCAGCUGCUCUGCCAGGGGAAAAAAUAACUUCAAUCCUUACAUUUUAGGGCUAAAAUUGAGUCUCAGUAGGGAAGAGGCUGGGAUGGAUCCUGGAUUUUCUGCUGGGAGCAGCGUGAGUCCCCCCUGCCACCCACUGCAUGGACAGGGGAGAAGAGCUGAGCCUCUCUGCAGGAUGGUUUUGGAAGUGGGUGAUGGGGAUAUUUAUGGGAUGGAGGUCCCCAAAGUUUGCUUUGCAGGAAAGAUGGGGGAGAGGCCUUGCUGUGAAGGGAAGGGAAGAGAGGAGGAGGAAAUGCAAACUAAUUAACUAAUAAAUAUGCUGGGUUGGCUGGGGCAGCAGGAGAGCAAUCCAGAGGGCUGACUCACUGUGACUCAGGCACAGAGGAGUGGGAUGGAAUCUGGCUCAGGAGCAUCUCCAGCCUUAGCCAGGCUGCCAGGACACAGGGACUGAUCCCAAACCUGCCAGGGCAGAGCAUCCCAUGGGGACCUUCUUCAUGUGGGCUUUGCUUGCUUUGGAGAAAUCACUCUCUAGAGGGGAACAAAGCUUAAUUCACCAGCUGGAGCAAGCAGCUGAAAUGGAGUCAGGCUUUUAGGAUGCAAUUCCCUGUGUCUCCAUUUCCACCUUAAAACCAGGCCAAUGCAGGACAGGUGGGAAAUGCCCUUCCACACAGCCAAAGCAGCUGUGGCUGUGGGAGGAGGUGAUGUUGUCACCAGUGCUGGGAUCCCAAAGCCAUCAAAAAUGUCCAGAGCCAGCAGGAUGACCAAAGGGAUCAUGGAGUCAUGGAAUGCCAGAAUGGUUUGGGUUGGAAGGGACUUUAAAAAACAUCCUGUUCCACCCCCUGCCAUGGCAGGGACACCUUCCACUGUCCCAGGUUGCUCCAAGCUCAAUAUCCAGCCUGGCCUUGGACACUGCCAGGGAUCCAGGGGCAGCCACAGCUGCUCUGGGAAUUCUGUGCCAGGGCAUCACCACCCUCACAGCCAGGAAUUCCUUCCCAAUAUCCCAUCUAACCCUGAUCUGAGUGAAGUCAUUCCCCCUUGUCCUUUUGUCCUGUCCCUGGGGGGGGGGGGGGGGGGGGGGGGGGGGGGGGGGGGGGGGGGGGGGGGGGGGGGGGGGGGGGGGGGGGGGGCCCAGCUCUCCCAGCCUGGCUCCAGAGGGGCUCCAGCCCUCAAAACAACCCCAUGACUUUCUCUGGACUCAUUCCAGCAGUUCCUUUCUGGAACAUCUUCCUGCUGCUGGAGAUGCCCCUCUGCAGGUGGGGUCUCAGAGGAGGAGAAUCCUCCCCCUCUCCCUGCUGCCCACGCCGUGGGAUCAGCCCAGCACCCAGCUGGGUUUGUUGUGCUCCCAGCUCACAUGGGCUCACAACCCCAAAUCCUCCUCCUGAGUGCUGUUCUCACUCCUCUCUGUGGUGCUGGGAUGGCUUUGAAGGGGCGGAAGGAGCAGGGCCUGCGUGGAGGCCAUGCCGGGCCCGGCGUGUCGGUGCAGGCCGCUGGGGAGGUGCUGCCUUCCCCCGGCUCUGCUCGCCCUGGAUUCACCCUCUUCCUGCCCACGACUGGCUGGGAUUGCUUCACCCCACACUCCAGCCCUGGGGCAAAACCCCCCUUGGCACCCACUCCCUGCUCCCUCUGGUGCCACCCCAGGAACGGGCACAGCCAUGGAUGGAGGGGAUUUGGGUGUGGUCAAGAGCAUCACAUCUCUGCACCCACACUUCCAAAAGGCUCUGCUAAAAAUUUUUGGAGGAGAUGAGGCUCCUCCAGAAAGGACACACAGUGACAGUGCAGUGAUGUGAUGCUCUUGUCCACAUCUCAGGCCAUGCAAAUCCCCCAUCCCUCCAGCCAUGGCCAUGCUCUGCUCACCCUGGAUUUGCUCUUUUCCUGCCCAUGACUGGCUGGGAUUGAUUGACCCCACACACUCCAGCCCUGGGGCAAAACCCCCCUUGGCACUCACUCCCUGCUCCCUCUGGUGCCACCCCAGGAACGGGCACAGCCAUGGGACAAGGCACAGCCAUGGAUGGAGGGAUGAGGAAUUUGGGGGCAUGAUCUGAGAUGUUGUCAACAGCAUCACAUCUCUGCACCCCCACUUCCAAAAGGCUCUGAUAACAUUUUUUGGAGAUGAGGCUCCUCCAGAAGGGACACAACCCUGAUAUUCCCCCUCCACCCCACAGCAGUGACAGUGCAGUGAUGUGAUGCUCUUGUCCACAUCUCAGGCCAUGCAAAUCCCCCAUCCCUCCAGCCAUGGCCAUGCUCUGCUCACCCUGGAUUUGCUCUUUUCCUGCCCAUGACUGGCUGGGAUUGAUUGACCCCACACACUCCAGCCCUGGGGCAAAACCCCCCUUGGCACUCACUCCCUGCUCCCUCUGGUGCCACCCCAGGAACGGGCACAGCCAUGGAUGGAGGGGAUUUGGGUGUGGUCAAGAGCAUCACAUCUCUGCACCCACACUUCCAAAAGGCUCUGCUAAAAAUUUUUGGAGGAGAUGAGGCUCCUCCAGAAAGGACACAACCCCAAUAUUCUCCCUCCACCCCACAGCAGUGACAGCGUGCUCUUGGAGAGACAAGUUCAGUGAUACAAGUCCUACCCUCAGCACAGGCACGAAGGAAAAGGGAGAGAAAAAAAAAAUUCUGCAAUCAGCUUCGGUUUUUUCCCACCCCCAGAGGCUUUUGCAUAGUCUUUUUUUUUUUAAAUUUUAUUUGUUCUCACUCCCUUUUUUCUUUUUUUUUUCUUUUUCAAAAUAUUUUCAACCGACGCGUUACUGAAGUCGUUUGCCUCCUGACAAAACCUGGGCUGCCUGCCAGCACAUAUUUCUGAUAAUUCAUCCAUUAUUAAAUGAAAUCAAAGAUACACAUUUAACAAAAAAAAAAAAGCCAUGGGAGUGUUUGCAUCCAAGAGAGAAGCUGUUCACAGCUGGGCUGGGAGUUUCUUUCACGGCAAAAAGAUCUCCCCAGGGAAAACCCACCCAAAAUCCCUGCCCUGCUCCUCACACUGCAAACAUCUCUGUGCAGCCAUGCUAAGAGCCAGGGAUUCUACAGAGUUUUUCUGCCUGGAUAAAGGAGAUUCCAUCCUGACUUGGGUGGGUGCUGCUGGAUUUUCCCCUUCCUCAGGGAGAGCCUGCAACCCAUGGCCAGAGACAGCCUGACUGGAUCAGCCGGUCCUCUCCAAACCAGAGAGAGAGGAAAAUCUGAUGGAGAGGGAGGGGCCCAGCAAUUACAGACUUUUCUCUUUAAUAACCCUCGCUGCUUCCCCGAGUCCAUAUUUACAUCCUUGGCACCAGAGUAGUAAUUAAAGUCUCUCCACUCAGGUCUAAACAACAGCAGACCCUCCUGUCAUUAAAAUCAGAGGCAAAGCUGGAAAUAAACCUGGUUUUUAUGGCUUUGGAGCCUCAAACCUCUCUCUGUCAGCUGGCUGGGCAGCAGGUUUUAAGGUCACACAUCAGUGCUUUGCUACAACAUCAAUAAGCUGCAUCCAUCUCAAUGGAAUAAUAGGGGUAGAAAACUGUGUGGAAAACUUCUCCAUGCCACUGGUGCCUUCUUGUGCCAUUUUUUGGCCAUUUCCACUGCCCAUAAGGGAAUAAAGGGGCCUCAGGGUCUGCAGCACCAGCUGAAGGACUGAGCUGUGGUCGUGCAAGGAGCUGCUCAAACCCUCUUGCUUUAAAGAAGCUAUCAAAAAAACCUGUGAGAAAAUUAAUUAUUCACUAAGACUGCUAAUUAAGCUGAUUUGCUCUGUGAGGGCAUUGAAGGAAAUGAGCUGGAGAAGUUCUUAAUUGUUUAAAAAAAGCCAUCCUACAAAUGCUCCUCCCAAGCUGCUCUGCUUGCCAAGAGAGCCUGGUCCUGUCUUCCACUGGGUC
ensembl:lncRNA